AUACGAAGGGGGCUAGCGUUGUUCGGAAUUACUGGGCGUAAAGCGCGCGUAGGCGGAUUGGUCAGUUAGGGGUGAAAUCCCAGGGCUUAACCCUGGAACUGCCUCUAAUACUGCCAGUCUUGAGUUCGGGAGAGGUGAGUGGAAUUCCUAGUGUAGAGGUGAAAUUCGUAGAUAUUAGGAAGAACACCAGUGGCGAAGGCGGCUCACUGGCCCGAUACUGACGCUGAGGCGCGAAAGCGUGGGGAGCAAACAGGAGUAGAAACCCUAGUAGUCC
rnacentral:rRNA from 1 species